UAAGGAAUAUUGGUCAAUGGACGCAAGUCUGAACCAGCCAUGCCGCGUGAAGGAUGAAGGUCCUCUGGAUUGUAAACUUCUUUUAUAGGGGGCGAAAAAAGGUUUUUCUAAAUCACUUGACAGUACCCUAUGAAUAAGCACCGGCUAACUCCGUGCCAGCAGCCGCGGUAAUACGGAGGGUGCAAGCGUUAUCCGGAUUCACUGGGUUUAAAGGGUGCGUAGGCGGGUAGGUAAGUCAGAGGUGAAAUCCUGGAGCUUAACUCCAGAACUGCCUUUGAUACUAUCUAUCUUGAAUAUGGUGGAGGUAAGCGGAAUAUGUCAUGUAGCGGUGAAAUGCAUAGAUAUGACAUAGAACACCUAUUGCGAAGGCAGCUUACUACGCCUAUAUUGACGCUGAGGCACGAAAGCGUGGGGAUCAAACAGG
rnacentral:rRNA from 1 species